rnacentral:rRNA from 1 species
AGUGAACGCUGGCGGCGUGCUUAACACAUGCAAGUCGAACGAGGACGGAUUAUAGCUUGCUAUAAUUGUCAGCUAAGUGGCGCACGGGUGAGUAAUGUAUAGGUAAUAUGCCUCUUACUAAGGGAUAACAAUUGGAAACGAUUGCUAAUACCUUAUAUUCCUUUUUAUCAAAAGAUAAAAAGGGAAAGAUUUAUUGGUAAGAGAUUAGCCUGUAUUGUAUCAGUUAGUUGGUGGGGUAAUGGCCUACCAAGACGAUGACGCAUAACUGGUUUGAGAGGGUGAUCAGUCACACUGGAACUGAGACACGGUCCAGACUCCUACGGGAGGCAGCAGUGGGGAAUAUUGCACAAUGGACGAAAGUCUGAUGCAGCAACGCCGCGUGGAGGAUGACACAUUUCGGUGCGUAAACUCCUUUUAUAUAAGAAGAUAAUGACGGUAUUAUAUGAAUAAGCACCGGCUAACUCCGUGCCAGCCGCCGCAGUAA